rnacentral:lncRNA from 1 species
GGGAUGGUUUUACUUUCUACAAUCUGGAGGUAUUUUAGGGAUUAAUAGACAACUCUAAGAUCAGAUAAGAUAUUCUUUUAAUAAUCCCACAGGGGGAAAAUUCCAAAAUGACAGCAGCAUAGUUGUAUAGUUUAUAAACUAUAAUGUGGAAUAUGUUCUUAUGAUGCCUUUAUCUUUGGUUUCAUUGGGGGUUUCAAUCCUCUUAAGCAACUGAAAUCAUUUUCGAGAGAGUAAAAUCCUACAAAGUACAAAACUAGAAUCUGAGAUCUUAAAGCACUUCAUAAUUUCUGGCUUAAUGGCUGCUGUGUGCUUUAUUUUUAUAAAACGGAUGUUGGCAGUACAGGUUUUUUUUUUUAAAAAAGUGGGAUUUCAGAAUUUAAAUGAAAUCAAAGAAUUUAAAUUUGCAAAAAUAAAAAAUGAACAAGAUCAGAUCAUUUACAUAAUUCCAACAAAGGCUGCAGGAAAUGUGCCCCGCUCUUUGUCUCUGUGUUGUAUUUGCAGUGUCGUUAAUCUUGUUCUGAUGCAGCUCUUCAGUUUUUUUCUUUGUUCUCUGACAGAUUUUUUAACUUCUCUUUCACCUUGCCUUACGCGCCUGAAAGAAUCAUCACCUUUUACAACCGAUCCUCCGCUGAACUGAUUAUUUUCAUCAAAAAAUUCUGUGGAGACAUUUCUUAACAAGGAAAUUGGACAUAUCAGAGAUUCUCCAGUUUUUCUCUAUUUUAGUGCAUUUACUCUGAAAAAAAAAAAAAAAAAAGUUUGGAUUAAGUAGUGAGCUUUGUACGGGGACAUGUGCGAACAUUUUCAGGAGAUAAAUUGAAAGAAUUGACUUUUAUACUCAGACUUCUCGCUGAGAUAGAUAUGUAAGUCGAUCUAAAAUUCAAAGAUGUUAAAGUAUGUGACGAACCAGAUGGAAACAAUCAGACCUUUAAAAAGUUGUUCUAUAUCUUGUACGGUACCUUUCAGCUCUGUUUCCGAAAGAUAAUAAUUUAGGGUACAAACAGAUAUAGGUAAAAAAAAAAAAAGAAGCACUUUGUUAUCUCCUGUUAUUCAGCCUUUUUGUCCCACAGAGCCGCAGACACUGUCAGAUUACAAAUGAAGCCUGUCAAAAAUUUUACUGAGUGUAAAAAUUCAUGCUAUCUAUAAAAAACUAGAUUUAAACCAGAUAUCUGCAGAUGGUUCACUUUUUUUACAUCUUUUAUUGGCUGUGAUUAAGCGCUUUGGUUCACAUUUACAGUUUUCAUUUUUUAGACACUCCCUUCCACAAUGAGCUAUUUGUAUUAUUACUUUUAUUAUUUCCCUGGAAGAGACUACUGAGGCAGCAGGUGCGCCUUGUUACCGACAAUGCAGUGUUACAAUCGUAGUCUGCUUCACCAAAAUCCGACUGCGCCCUCAGUCGCUUUACUUUUAUCGUAUUAAGACAACCAUGUCAAAAUCAAACCUAAUCACAGGAGGCUUUGUUGCCCAUAAAAACUGAUUUCACAAACAUCCUGUCAGAGAAAAAUGGUCGCGCGGAAAAUGGACGAGAGGAGUGUGUGACCCCGGCGGCCUUUCUUUCAUGUGGGGUCAGAGGUCAGAUAGAAAUCCAGCUCUCUGUGGAGAGAUUAAAGCCUGUCGCCAAGGUAACAUUUUGUACAACCAGAAUGACAAGGGUCACACCGGGGACCGCCAACUCUUGUAUGGCACACUGACUUUUAUCUUAUAAAGAACCCCCCGUGGUGUUUUAAUCCUUUAUCCAGUUAAUAUAGAAACAGUGCAGAACCGAGCGUUGAUUUGCAUGUGUGUCGGCGCGUGUGUCUUUUCACGCCUGCUCUCCCCGUUUUAACCUUUUUUUGUUGGCCCACAGCGUUUUGUUUGUGAGUCAGCCGAGCAGAGUUGAAGGGUUUGAGCCGUGUCGCCCGGGGUCAGUUGGCUGCAAGUGAAUGAGAUGAAUGAACAUGUGUGUGUGUGGACUCGGGAGGAGGGGGGGGAGAAGAAAGAAGCAAGAUCACCGUGGCCAAGUGUGAGCUGAGGUGGCUGGCACACAGCGCAGUCGGAGGCUCAGAGAAAGUCCGGGUCAUGCUGUGUCACGAAAGCAGAGAGAGCGCUUUGGAUUCAUGUCUAUGUUUGAUGGCUUGAAUUUGAUACGGUCUGUUAAAUAUCUGCUGGUUUCAGCAUAAAAAAUACAAAAUAUGCCACUAUUUUGUUUUAUUUUAGCCUGUUGUUAAGGCUGCGUAACCUUUCCGUCCUUCUGUAUUUGCCAAACACGACGGUUGACUCCUACUAUGUGAACAAGUGACCAUGCAUCAUCUGUCUUUCUUUUCUGUGUGUGUGUGUGUGUUCGUGUGUGGGGUUAAAAGGUGUGGUGGGAGAGCUGUGAGCCGAGGUCAGUCAGUUCCAGCCCCGAGGAGAGCGCCGCCGCGGCCUUGGAACAGUGUGGGGGUGGUUCACUUCCCCUUUCCCUGCCUCACAGCUUCCUGUGAGUGCUUUAACCGUUAACCACACCCUCCUCCCCUGGCCUACAACCCCCCCACCCCCCACCCCCCUCAUAGCGCCGCCACCACUCCUACAGCCAACCUAGAAAACACCCUGCUUUUACACCAGAUCUCCCCUUUUUUUUUUCCUCCAAGGCCAAUCCACACACGCACACACGCUGAUAAUAGUCCUCUCCUCCUUGUGCUGUAGUCAGUAGUCACACCUCUCGGUUGGUCCCCGACAGUUAUCUCUGUGUUUCACUCUGUUGCUCCAUGUUUGACCCCUGCCAGCUAAUUACAAUGUUAACAUGACUGUAUGAAUGUUCGAGCUGUUUAGGCUCCGUGUUAGAUAAGUCAAGAUUUAAACAGGUUAAUCAUCUUUCAGUUUCAGUCACUUGGAUCUUUCUAUUACACUUGUUAUUCAGUUGAUCUUUGACUAUUAAAUUCACAUCUUUGAUUUCAUUUUUGUCCUCUUUUUUUUUUUGCUUUGUAUCAUCUGAAAAUCAUGUAUGUUGAGUGUUAAAAAGUUCUCCACAAAUAAACAAAAUAAAGUAACUUUUGAUCUAUGAGAACUUCCACCCAGAGCUGGUUUCUCAUCCCAUCAUUAACCAUAUGUAGCUCAUCGAAAAACACUGUAAAGAUUCUGGCUCUGCUCGGCAACAGCUGAGUCACCGCUGAGAGACGUCAGUGAGCAGAUUAUAAAGCAAUUCCCAUUCAUAAUAUUCACACUGCGGUAGUUUACCUCAGUCAUGACAUUCAGGGCCAGUAUCUGACGUGCUGUUAGUACACUGCAGUGCUAUAAGUGUUAAAAAUUAUGAAAAAAAAAGUAAAAUGGGGAACAAAACAGUUAUAAAUCAGAUUACUGUUUCCUGAUUGAGAAGCAUAAUGAAACUCUAGAGGGGCACGGACGAUAUUUUACCUACAUGGAAAUUACAGAAGCCCUAAGCGGACAUGAAUCUAUAAAUCAUAGUUGCAUAGCCUUCCUGUUAUAUACACUUAUCUUGACUGACCAUAAAAUUCAUUAUAUAGCUCCUACUAAUGUAUGUAGUCAGUUUGAAUGAAGGAGAUGAUUCCCAAAGGGUUCAGCUAAGGAGCUCAAUGUGUAGUUUCUGUGUAGUUGUGUAUCUCUUUUGUACCACCUGUUUUCACCAUGAGAAAAAAAGGUAAAAAUACACAUAAAAAACUGCAAAUCUGUGCAGAUAGGAAAUCCACUGUUUAUAAUCUGUGUAUAGAUUUGUAAUCUGAGGGAACAGAUUCGUAAUCUGUGUGCAUGGAUUUACAAUUUGGGUUUGUAAUCCAGGUGCGCAGUGUGGAAAAUCUAUUCACACAGAUUAGGACCCUGUCCUCAUGGAUUUGUCAUUCUUGUGUACAAAUUACCAAUCUGUUUUUAUGUUAUAGAUCCAUACGCACUUCAGACUGUCCACUGAGAUUUACACAUGGCUUGUCUUUUUUCUUGUUCUGGCACCUGGAGGCACUUGCAGUCCUGCCAGCUCUUAAAACUGGAAGAGUUUAGCCCA